rnacentral:rRNA from 1 species
GUGAACGCUGGCGGUAGGCCUAACACAUGCAAGUCGAACGGCAGCACAGUAAGAGCUUGCUCUUACGGGUGGCGAGUGGCGGACGGGUGAGGAAUACAUCGGAAUCUACUUUUUCGUGGGGGAUAACGUAGGGAAACUUACGCUAAUACCGCAUACGACCUACGGGUGAAAGCAGGGGAUCUUCGGACCUUGCGCGAUUGAAUGAGCCGAUGUCGGAUUAGCUAGUUGGCGGGGUAAAGGCCCACCAAGGCGACGAUCCGUAGCUGGUCUGAGAGGAUGAUCAGCCACACUGGAACUGAGACACGGUCCAGACUCCUACGGGAGGCAGCAGUGGGGAAUAUUGGACAAGGGGCGCAAGCCUGAUCCAGCCAUACCGCGUGGGUGAAGAAGGCCUUCGGGUUGUAAAGCCCUUUUGUUGGGAAAGAAAAGCAGCAGGUUAAUACCCCGCUGUUCUGACGGUACCCAAAGAAUAAGCACCGGCUAACUUCGUG